UCCCCCCCCCCCCCGUCCGAAAAUACUUGUCAUCAAAAUGGAUAGAAAGGGAUGUAUCUAGAACUAAAAGACGUCUAGAUACAUCCUCUUUUAUUCAUUUUGAUGACAAGUAUUUCCGGGCGGAGGGAGUAUUAU
rfam:Triticum urartu cultivar G1812 contig476856, whole genome shotgun sequence.